rnacentral:miRNA from 6 species
GUAGAGGAGAUGGCGCAGGG